rnacentral:rRNA from 1 species
UACGUAGGUGGCAAGCGUUGUCCGGAUUUACUGGGUGUAAAGGGCGUGUAGGCGGAGCAGCAAGUCAGAAGUGAAAUCUCCGGGCUUAACCCGGAAACUGCUUUUGAAACUGUUGCCCUUGAGUAUCGGAGAGGCAGGCGGAAUUCCUAGUGUAGCGGUGAAAUGCGUAGAUAUUAGGAGGAACACCAGUGGCGAAGGCGGCCUGCUGGACGACAACUGACGCUGAGGCGCGAAAGCGUGGGGAG